rnacentral:lncRNA from 1 species
GGAAAACAAACAAAACCUCACAGUUUUGAAAAUAUGGUCCAGACAUGCUGAAUGCUCAUAAAAGGGCAGAGAGUCCGCAGAUGGAAUAGAAAAAACAGCUUAAAAUGUCAUCAGAAGUUGUUGUGAUCUUUGGUGAGUUUCUUUCUCCCCUUAAUCUGAUCUCCAUUUAUUGUUCUUUCAGUCUUUACCUGACAGCAACUGAUGAAAUUCAGAGCCAGAAGUUGCCACCAGGGCCACCUGGUGCUGAAAGCCCUGCCCAGGUGGGCAGCAGCCACUGCUGUGCUCAGUGAGCUCUCAGAGGUGGUCCCAAAAGCCAACAUAGAGAAAGCAAGCCUCAGUCCUGAGCAGAAGAUAAGGAGCAGAAUGACCUUGCAUCUUCCAUCCAUACACCUGAGGUUAACAGUCAAGGAACCUGAGGCCAGGGGAGAGAAAGUGUUCUGUGCAAGGAGUGGAAGAGAGCUAUCAGCAGCAGUGCCUUUCCCAGCACACCGCCAUCGGCCCGGUGAUGGAUGGAGCUCCUCCCGUGUCCCAGCAGGCAUGACAAUAACUGUCACCAACUGCAAGUAAAACUGAAGCAAUUAAUACUGAGGGCACAGCCAUCCUUCACUCACUCUCGUGCAGUUGGCUCCCCUGUAAACAGUAAGAAUUUUAAUUUCUUGCUUGGCUUAGGUUGGGCUUGGUUGUACGUAAGAUAAUCCUAGUGCAGAGCUGCAGGACCUCCUUGGGACAAAGCUUAACCACUGGGACACCCAGCCCUUAAGGGGAAGCUGGAGGCUUCUCCUGAGCUAUUCCUGCAACAAGCUGAAAACGUUGGUGUUAUUUAUGAUGUCUAGAUGGGGCGUGGAACUUCAUUUAUUGUCAUGCAAAAAAUACGCAUCAACAGGCUCGAUGCAAAUCCCCAGCACUCCAAUAGCUGCUCGAGGACCAGUGCACUUCAGCAAGCCUAAUCCAAAGGGGAACACGCUGUGAGGGAAGGGGACUGCAGCUUAGGAGCAAAGCUGGGAUAGGUGAGAUCAACCUGGAGCAAAAAGAACAGCGAGAGCCGUGCUGCCUGCACAAGGCUGGAUCCCUCUCCCCACCUAUUGUGUCGAGAACUAGAAGUCUAUCACCUCAGCCUAAUGGAGCAUCAUCAGCUCACCUCAAUGAGGCACUUAAUCGAAAGAGCAUUUAUACCACUUGGAUUGCCAGCCGCACUUUAUGACAGCUCUUUGCACAAGAGAUGUCAUUGUGCAUUUACUUCUUUGUUAGACUAGAUUGGAGUUAUCAGCGGUUGAGUAAACCCUGCCAUUCGCAGGAACACCCUGCAUACGUUUGCAGGACAGAGAGGAACAGAAGAGGAAAAAGGACGGGCUGAUAGAGGCAGGCGUGACUUGAACAACAAGGAGGAAAACAACAAAGCGCGACAAGAUUUUGAGGCGUACCGUCAGCUGAUGGCAACGCUCAGGGUGUGAAAAAUAAGUAAUUGACAGCAGUUAGCAUGCAGGACAGAGCAGAGUUCUUAACGCAGUGAGAUUUUCUGUGCAGCUCUCUGAUUUCGGUCCUUGUUCCUGCCCGUCGCUCAGGUAAC